AUGUCAGAGAACUUCACAUUAUGUUCCACAAUGUAUCUAGAAACAAGAAAACAUUCAAACACACUGAAAGAGACCAAGUAGAGGAAGCACAAUAAAGAAGGAACAGCAAAAACAGCCUGGCUUCCCCCAUUACCUUGCUUUUAAUGAAUCCUAGACACUACAGUUCAAUUCAAGCAAUCACAAAUAAAAGAUGGACUGUGAAAAAAAGGAGAGAGAGGACAAUUGUAAAAAUCUUUUGGACAGGAUUACUUUUAUGAAAAGCAAUAUCGAGCAGUUACGCUUUUCUGCAAAUAUACAGCUGUUAGCUGUUGUUUUUCUUCCCAGACAAAAUUUUGACUUUUUGCUAGAAAACCAAAAGUUGGAACCCACGAACUUUUUGAGUCUUAAAAAUGCUGUGUUGGAUCCUUCAAGAAUCCAUUUCACUCUGGGAUCUGGGACCCCCGGCCUUACCACGCCUUUCAUGCUGCAGCCAGGACCCUCUUUUUGUUGAGACAUUUGGUAACGUCAUGGGAGCUAUAGCGCAUCCCAGGAGAUGCAGUUCAGUUGGAUGCACAGCCCACAGGAAAGAACAGGUGGGAAUCACAAGCUACAAUUCCCAUGAGAGGAGGUAGCAUUUUUUAAAUGAACAAAAAGUGCUUUACAGUUUGAAACAGAAACAUUUUCAAAGGUUUGAGAUGUUCAGUUUUUCAAUGAAUAGUCAAGAUUUUCCACAGGAAAAAAAAAAGGCAUGGACCAUGGACAUUGAGGAAUAUAGGGCACAGGACUGGGUGUUGUGGGUCAGGAAGAGAUUUCCUGUUAUGAUCAUAUAAUCCCU